rnacentral:tRNA from 1 species
GCCAAUGUGGCUCAGUGGUUUGAGUGGUGUAUUAAGACUCUGGAGACCAGGGUUCAAUUCCCAGCUCAGCCA